rnacentral:rRNA from 1 species
GACAGAGGUGCCGAGCGUUAGGCGGAAUCACUGGGCUUAAAGCGUGUGUAGGCGGGUCGUUAAGUGAGUUGUGAAAUCCCACCGCUCAACGGUGGAACUGCUGGGCAUACUGGCGAUCUUGAGCCACCUAGGGGCAGACGGAACAAGCGGUGGAGCGGUGAAAUGCGUAGAUAUCGCUUGGAACGCCGACGGUGAAAACAGUCUGCUGGGGGUGUGCUGACGCUGAGACACGAAAGCCAGGGGAGCGAACGGG